rnacentral:rRNA from 1 species
GACGGAGGAUGCAAGCGUUAUCCGGAAUGAUUGGGCGUAAAGCGUCCGCAGGUGGCAGUUCAAGUCUGCUGUCAAAGACCGGGGCUUAACUUCGGAAAGGCAGUGGAAACUGAACAGCUAGAGUAUGGUAGGGGCAGAGGGAAUUCCUGGUGUAGCGGUGAAAUGCGUAGAGAUCAGGAAGAACAUCGGUGGCGAAGGCGCUCUGCUGGACCAUAACUGACACUCAGGGACGAAGGUCAGGGGAGCAAACGGG